rnacentral:rRNA from 1 species
UACGGAGGGGGCUAGCGUUGUUCGGAAUUACUGGGCGUAAAGCGCACGUAGGCGGCUUUGUAAGUUAGAGGUGAAAGCCCAGGGCUUAACCCUGGAAUUGCCUUUAAGACUGCAUCGCUAGAAUCGUGGAGAGGUGAGUGGAAUUCCGAGUGUAGAGGUGAAAUUCGUAGAUAUUCGGAAGAACACCAGUGGCGAAGGCGACUCACUGGACACGUAUUGACGCUGAGGUGCGAAAGCGUGGGGAGCAACAGG